UACUUUUGUACCGCAUUAACAUUUAUGGGUUCGUCGAUGUUUAUUCCAUCAUACACCGGCGUGUCUCGGCCUAAUUUAUAACGCUGUCUUGUAAGCCACGUAAACUAGGUGUAUACGUACACCCUUCGUGAUCAACAGGGGCAUAAUGAAAGAAAAGUUGCUGUUGAGAGAAUUAUGCGUUAGUCACCCACGAAAUCGUGUUGAACGGCGCAAAAUCACACGGUACGUGCAAUAAAACUUAAUUGCUUGCUUGUUCAAAGCUCGCAUCAACCGCGUCGAGAGCCGACUUUGCGAAUUCAUUCCCCCGCGGUGUUUUAAUACGUUUAAUGGUCGUAGAGAACGCGCACGCGGCGAACGAGUCGUAAAUUACAAAACGGCGCCACACGUUCUGCGCCACAAUCAAUAAAUCGCCAAAGAAUAUCAACAUGUUGUUCCAGGUUCAGUCAAUGUUUAAUGGACCAUUAAUUAUUGAGCACCUCUCCAAUAUACUCUACUAGUACAUGUCUACAAAACUUAUUGUUUUACGAGCUCAAUCCUAAGUACCACACAAUGGAAGGGCGCGCUUUCGAUUCGUAUUUUCAUUUGUCCUGGUUAUUGUUGGAUUAGUAACAGCAUGUUUCUAUAAUUCAUUCGAAAUUGAUUUACGUUUAAUGAAAAAUUGAUUAAAAUUUUAUUCUAAAA